rnacentral:rRNA from 1 species
GAUGAACGCUGGCGGCGUGCUUAACACAUGCAAGUCGAACGAGAACGGAUUAUAGCUUGCUAUAAUUGUCAGCUAAGUGGCGCACGGGUGAGUAAUGUAUAGAUAACCUGCCCUCUAGAAAGGAAUAACAGUUGGAAACGACUGCUAAUGCCCUAUAUGCCUUUAAUACAUAAGUAUGCAAGGGAAACGCUUUAGUGCUAGAGGAUGGGUCUGUAUGGUAUCAGUUAGUUGGUGAGGUAAUGGCUCACCAAGACUAUGACGCCUAACUGGUUUGAGAGGAUGAUCAGUCACACUGGAACUGGAACACGGUCCAGACUCCUACGGGAGGCAGCAGUGGGGAAUAUUGCACAAUGGACGAAAGUCUGAUGCAGCAACGCCGCGUGGAGGAUGACACAUUUCGGUGCGUAAACUCCUUUUAUAUAGGAAGAUAAUGACGGUACUAUAUGAAUAAGCACCGGCUAACUCCGUGCCAGCAGCCGCCGUAA